ensembl:snRNA U6 U6 spliceosomal RNA
GUGCCUAUUUUGGCAGCAUGUAGCCUAAAAGUGGAACAAUACAGAGAUUAGCAUGGCUCCUGUGCCAGGAUGACAUGCAAAUUCAUGAAGCAUUCCAUAUUUAA